rnacentral:rRNA from 1 species
UACGUAGGGGCCUAGCGUUGUCCGGAUUUAUUGGGCGUAAAGAGCUCGUAGGCGGUUUGGUAAGUCGGGUGUGAAAUCUCACAGCUUAACUGUGAAACUGCAUUGGAUACUAUCCGGCUCGAGGAAUGGAGGGGAGACUGGAAUACUUGGUGUAGCAGUGAAAUGCGUAGAUAUCAAGUGGAACACCAGUGGCGAAGGCGAGUCUCUGGACAUUUCCUGACGCUGAGGCACGAAAGCCAGGGGAGCAAACGGG